rnacentral:rRNA from 1 species
GUCGAGAAUCUUUCACAAUGGGGGCAACCCUGAUGGAGCGACGCCGCGUGGAGGAUAAGGUCUUCGGAUUGUAAACUCCUGUCAUGCGUGAACAAGGUUGCUUGGUUAAUACCUGGGCAAAUUGAUGGUAACGCAAGAGGAAGAGACGGCUAACUCUGUGCCAGCAGCCGCGGUAAUACAGAGGUCUCAAGCGUUGUUCGGAAUCACUGGGCGUAAAGGGUGCGUAGGUGGCGUGGUAAGUCAGAUGUGAAAGCCCGGGGCUCAACCUCGGAACUGAAUUCGAUACUGCCAUGCUAGAGUACUGGAGAGGUGACUAGAAUUCUCGGUGUAGCAGUGAAAUGCGUAGAUAUCGAGAGGAAUACCAAAGGCGUAGGCAGGUCACUGGACAGUUACUGACACUGAGGCACGAAGGCCAGGGGAGCGAACGGGAUUAGAAACCCUGGUAGUCC